rnacentral:misc_RNA from 1 species
AGAAGAAAAAGAAGAAGAAGAAUGCAGCGCCAGUAUACAGAGGAUGUGGGUGUCCAUGGUAAAACUAGUUGGUUGAUGACAACUUUUUAAUAGAUGAAACCACAAAGGAAGUGAAAAUGGCAUUGAUCAAACUAAGUAAACAGGAAUUUCACAUUCCAGAUGAAGUGAUUAACUUAUUUCAAGUCCACAAAAAAAAAAAAAAAAAAAA